AAUCAAACGAUGAAAGAACUCAGUAGUCCCCAUGGUUACAAUUUAGAGAGCAAUCCGGUUGGUGAAAGGUUUGCAGCACAUGGCAGGAUGAAUUACACUCUGGAGUUUCGAAGUGAAAGCUUCGACGGUUACCAGCCGUUAUUGGUUUAAGACAUUGUGUUUUGAGCCCCACAUAGACAUGAUGUAAAUUAAGGUGGUACCACGGGUCCUCUCGUCCUUAGC
rnacentral:ncRNA from 1 species